GAUGAACGCUGGCGGCGUGCCUAAUACAUGCAAGUCGAGCGAACAGACGAGGAGCUUGCUCCUCUGACGUUAGCGGCGGACGGGUGAGUAACACGUGGAUAACCUACCUAUAAGACUGGGAUAACUUCGGGAAACCGGAGCUAAUACCGGAUAAUAUAUUGAACCGCAUGGUUCAAUAGUGAAAGACGGUUUUGCUGUCACUUAUAGAUGGAUCCGCGCCGCAUUAGCUAGUUGGUAAGGUAACGGCUUACCAAGGCAACGAUGCGUAGCCGACCUGAGAGGGUGAUCGGCCACGCUGGGACUGAGACACGGUCCAGACUCCUACGGGAGGCAGCAGUAGGGAAUCUUCCGCAAUGGGCGAAAGCCUGACGGAGCAACGCCGCGUGAGUGAUGAAGGUCUUCGGUCGUAAAACUCUGUUAUUAGGGAAGAACAAAUGUGUAAGUAACUAUGCACGUCUUGACGGUACCUAAGCAGAAAGCCACGGCUAACUACGU
rnacentral:rRNA from 1 species